rnacentral:rRNA from 1 species
UACGUAGGGAGCAAGCGUUGUUCGGAUUUACUGGGUGUAAAGGGCACGUAGGCGGCGCGGUAAGUCACUUGUGAAAUCUCUGAGCUUAACUCAGAACGGCCAAGUGAUACUGCAGUGCUAGAGUGCAGAAGGGGCAAUCGGAAUUCUUGGUGUAGCGGUGAAAUGCGUAGAUAUCAAGAGGAACACCUGAGGUGAAGACGGGUUGCUAGGCUGACACUGACGCUGAGGCGCGAAAGCCAGGGGAGCAAACGGG